rnacentral:rRNA from 1 species
UGGGGAAUAUUGCACAAUGGAGGGAACUCUGAUGCAGCGACGCCGCGUGAGUGAUGAAGGAAUUCGUUUCGUAAAACUCUGUUCUAUGGGAAGAAAAGGACUGUACCAUAGGAGAAAGCUCCGGCUAAAUACGUGCCAGCAGCCGCGGUAAUACGUAUGGAGCGAACGUUGUCCGGAAUUAUUGGGCGUAAAGGGUGCGCAGGCGGCUUUACAAGUUGGAUGUGAAAUAUUGUGGCUCAACCACAAACGUGCAUCCAAAACUGCAAAGCUUGAGUUAAGGAGAGGUAAGUGGAAUUCCUGGUGUAGCGGUGGAAUGCGUAGAUAUCAGGAGGAAUACCGGUGGCGAAGGCGACUUACUGGACUUAAACUGACGCUCAGGCACGAAAGCGUGGGGAGCAAACAGG